AGGGUUUGAUUAUGGCUCAGGAUGAACGCUGGCGGCGUGCUUAACACAUGCAAGUCGAGCGAAGCACUUAUGAAAGAUUCUUCGGAUGAUUUCAUUUGUGACUGAGCGGCGGACGGGUGAGUAACGCGUGGGUAACCUGCCUCAUACAGGGGGAUAACAGUUGGAAACGACUGCUAAUACCGCAUAAGCGCACAGUACCGCAUGGUACAGUGUGAAAAACUCCGGUGGUAUGAGAUGGACCCGCGUCUGAUUAGCUAGUUGGUGGGGUAACGGCCUACCAAGGCGACGAUCAGUAGCCGACCUGAGAGGGUGACCGGCCACAUUGGGACUGAGACACGGCCCAA
rnacentral:rRNA from 1 species